UGCAAGUCGAACGCUUCUUUCCUCCCGAGUGCUUGCACUCAAUUGGAAAGAGGAGUGGCGGACGGGUGAGUAACACGUGGGUAACCUACCCAUCAGAGGGGGAUAACACUUGGAAACAGGUGCUAAUACCGCAUAACAGUUUAUGCCGCAUGGCAUAAGAGUGAAAGGCGCUUUCGGGUGUCGCUGAUGGAUGGACCCGCGGUGCAUUAGCUAGUUGGUGAGGUAACGGCUCACCAAGGCCACGAUGCAUAGCCGACCUGAGAGGGUGAUCGGCCACACUGGGACUGAGACACGGCCCAGACUCCUACGGGAGGCAGCAGUAGGGAAUCUUCGGCAAUGGACGAAAGUCUGACCGAGCAACGCCGCGUGAGUGAAGAAGGUUUUCGGAUCGUAAAACUCUGUUGUUAGAGAAGAACAAGGACGUUAGUAACUGAACGUCCCCUGACGGUAUCUAACCAGAAAGCCACGGCUAACUACGUGCCAGCAGCCGCGGUAAUACGUAGGUGGCAAGCGUUGUCCGGAUUUAUUGGGCGUAAAGCGAGCGCAGGCGGUUUCUUAAGUCUGAUGUGAAAGCCCCCGGCUCAACCGGGGAGGGUCAUUGGAAACUGGGAGACUUGAGUGCAGAAGAGGAGAGUGGAAUUCCAUGUGUAGCGGUGAAAUGCGUAGAUAUAUGGAGGAACACCAGUGGCGAAGGCGGCUCUCUGGUCUGUAACUGACGCUGAGGCUCGAAAGCGUGGGGAGCAAACAGGAUUAGAUACCCUGGUAGUCCACGCCGUAAACGAUGAGUGCUAAGUGUUGGAGGGUUUCCGCCCUUCAGUGCUGCAGCAAACGCAUUAAGCACUCCGCCUGGGGAGUACGACCGCAGGUGAAACUCAAGGAAUUGAGGGGGCCCGCACAAGCGGUGGAGCAUGUGGUUUAAUUC
rnacentral:rRNA from 1 species